rnacentral:tRNA from 1 species
AGUUCAGAAGCGAAAAAUUGCACUAAGUUUCGGCCUUAGAUUUGAGGAACACCCUCCUGAGCAU